AGUGUUUGAGGAAGUAGCGCCGCGCUGCCCGCGUUAAGAUUCCCGUAUUUUAAUGUUUUCAGUGGGGUGUCAUAGCCCCGGGUUUGGCCGCCCCAGCCCCGCCUUCCCCGCCCCGGGGAGCCCGCCCCCUGCCCCGCAUCCCUGCGGACAGAGUUAGCACGACAUCAGUAUGAGCUGGUCACCUUCCCUGACAACGCAGACAUGUGGGGCCUGGGAAAUGAAAGAGCGCCUUGGGACAGGGGGAUUUGGAAAUGUCAUCCGAUGGCACAAUCAGCCUCUGCGCUUAGAUACCUUCAUGAAAACAGAAUCAUCCAUCGGGAUCUAAAGCCAGAAAACAUCGUCCUGCAGCAAGGAGAACAGAGGUUAAUACACAAAAUUAUUGACCUAGGAUAUGCCAAGGAGCUGGAUCAGGGCAGUCUUUGCACAUCAUUCGUGGGGACCCUGCAGUACCUGGCCCCAGAGCUACUGGAGCAGCAGAAGUACACAGUGACCGUCGACUACUGGAGCUUCGGCACCCUGGCCUUUGAGUGCAUCACGGGCUUCCGGCCCUUCCUCCCCAACUGGCAGCCCGUGCAAUGGCAUUCGAAAGUGCGGCAGAAGAGUGAGGUGGACAUUGUUGUUAGCGAAGACUUGAAUGGAACAGUGAAGUUUUCAAGUUCUUUACCCUACCCCAAUAAUCUUAACAGCGUCCUGGCUGAGCGACUGGAGAAGUGGCUGCAACUGAUGCUGAUGUGGCAUCCCCGACAGAGGGGCACAGAUCCCACGUAUGGGCCCAACGGCUGCUUCAAGGCCCUGGAUGACAUCUUAAACUUAAAGCUGGUUCAUAUCUUGAACAUGGUCACGGGCACCAUCCACACCUACCCUGUGACAGAGGAUGAGAGUCUGCAGAGCUUGAAGGCCAGAAUCCAGCAGGACACAGGCAUCCCAGAGGAGGACCAGGAGCUGCUGCAGGAAGCGGGCCUGGCGUUGAUCCCCGAUAAGCCUGCCACUCAGUGUGUUUCAGACGGCAAGUUAAAUGAGGGCCGCACAUUGGACAUGGAUCUUGUUUUUCUCUUUGACAACAGUAAAAUCACCUAUGAAACUCAGAUCUCCCCACGGCCCCAACCUGAAAGUGUCAGCUGUAUCCUUCAAGAGCCCAAGAGGAACCUCGCCUUCUUCCAGCUGAGGAAGGUGUGGGGCCAGGUCUGGCACAGCAUCCAGACCCUGAAGGAGGAUUGCAACCGGCUGCAGCAGGGACAGCGAGCCGCCAUGAUGAAUCUCCUCCGAAACAACAGCUGCCUCUCUAAGAUGAAGAAUUCCAUGGCUUCCAUGUCUCAGCAGCUCAAGGCCAAGUUGGAUUUCUUCAAAACCAGCAUCCAGAUUGACCUGGAGAAGUACAGCGAGCAAACCGAGUUUGGGAUCAGUGAGUGUGCACUUUGCAAUGAGUUUAAAAGACACCAUUUUUUUUUUUCUUUUUCUCUUUCUAAGGUUUCUUUUGUCUUAUUAUAAUUGAGUUGCUUAUUUCUGUUUCAGUUUUGUGGUGUUUUUAUUUUGUUUUGUUUUGUUUUUCCUUCUCAAUUUUUUUUCAGCAUCAGAUAAACUGCUGCUGGCCUGGAGGGAAAUGGAGCAGGCUGUGGAGCUCUGUGGGCGGGUAGGAGACUCAUUUUGGGUUUCUGAACUUACCAAGGGGGUGAGGUUUUGUGCUCCCACUUUUCACUUUCUCAUCAAACACUGGGUCGAUCUCUGUCAAAAAUC
rnacentral:sRNA from 1 species